UACAGAGGUCUCAAGCGUUGUUCGGAUUCAUUGGGCGUAAAGGGUGCGUAGGCGGCGCGGUAAGUCGGGUGUGAAAUCUCGGAGCUUAACUCCGAAACUGCAUUCGAUACUGCCGUGCUUGAGGACUGGAGAGGAGACUGGAAUUUACGGUGUAGCGGUGAAAUGCGUAGAUAUCGGAAGGAAGACCAGUGGCGAAGGCGGGUCUCUGGAACGUUUCUGACGCUGAGGCUCGAAAGCGUGGGGAGCAAACAGG
rnacentral:rRNA from 1 species